GACGGAGGAUGCAAGCGUUAUCCGGAAUUAUUGGGCGUAAAGCGUCCGCAGGCGGCUGUUCAAGUCUGCUGUCAAAGACCGGGGCUUAACUUCGGAAAGGCAGUGGAAACUGAACAGCUAGAGUAUGGUAGGGGCAGAGGGAAUUCCUGGUGUAGCGGUGAAAUGCGUAGAGAUCGGAAAGAACACCAACGGCGAAAGCACUCUGCUGGGCCGACACUGACACUGAGAGACGAAAGCUAGGGGAGCGAAUGGG
rnacentral:rRNA from 1 species